rnacentral:tRNA from 1 species
GCCUGGGUGGCUCGGUAGGUUAAGCGUCUGACUUCGGCUCAGGUCAUGAUCUCACGGUCCGUGGGUUCAAGCCCCGCGUCGGGCU